rnacentral:rRNA from 1 species
GAUGAACGCUAGCUACAGGCUUAACACAUGCAAGUCGAGGGACCGGCGCACGGGUGAGUAACGCGUAUCCAACCUACCCAUUACUGUGGGAUAACCUGCCGAAAGGCAGACUAAUACCGCAUAGUAAUGGAUGGGGAUGCGUCUGAUUAGCUUGUUGGCGGGGUAACGGCCGACCAAGGCAACGAUCAGUAGGGGUUCUGAGAGGAAGGUCACCCACAUGAUAACUGAGACACGAACCAAAAUCCAACAGGAGGCAGAAGUGAUGAAGAUUGGUCAAUGGGCGCGAGCCUGAAACAGCCAAGUAGCGUGCAGGGUGACGGCCUAUGGGUUGUAAACUGCUUUUGAAUGUGGAUAGAUACCAUACGAAUAAGGACCGGCUAAUUCCGUGCCAGCAGCCGCGGUAAUUC